rnacentral:ncRNA from 1 species
UGGACCCUGAAAAGUUCUAAGGGCAUAAAGAUUUGGUCCUAGUCUUAUUAUCAGCUUUUUCUAAACUUACACAUGCAAGUCUCAGCACACCCGUGAGGACGCCCUUUUACCUACACCAGAAUAAGGAGCUGGUAUCAGGCACCAAACCCCGCCCACUACACCUAGUCCCACCACGCCCCUAAGGGCUUUCAGCAGUGACAAAUAUUGCUUAUAAGCGUCAGCUUGACCCAGUUAUAGAAAAAAGAGCUGGCCAAUUCGGUGCCAGCCGCCGCGGCUAAACCGCACAAGCUCAAGUUGAUAAGCACCGGCGUUAAGCGUGAUUAAAGUCUAAUAAAUUAGAAUUAAACCUUCACUUAGCCGUGACAAGCUUGCUGCCGGGAAAAACAAAAACGAAAGUUAUUCUAAUCUGCUUGAACCCACGACAGUUGAGAUACAAACUGGGAUUAGAUACCCCACUAUGCCCAACCGUAAAAUAUUAACUCACACUAACUACGCCCGGGUACUACAAGCCCAGCUUAAAACCCAAAGGACUUGACGGUGUCCCACCCAACUAGAGGAGCCUGUUCUAUAAUCGAUAACCCCCGAUUUACCCAACCCCAUUUUGCCAAUCAGCCUGUAUACCUCCGUCGUAAACUUACCAUAUGAAUGCACACAGUAAGUCCAAUGAUCUUAUCAUCAAUACGUCAGGUCAAGGUGCAGCUCAUGAUAGGGAAAGUAAUGGGCUACAAUUUCUAAGAUAGAACAUACGAAAUGCUUUAUGAAACACAGCAUGAAGGCGGAUUUAGCAGUAAAAAGGAAAUAAUGCGUCCUUCUUAACAAGGCCCUGGGACGUGUACACACCGCCCGUCACCCUCUUCAAUAGUUCAUAAUAUGUCUAUAACAAUUUUUCACGCCUUAGAAGAGGCAAGUCGUAACAUGGUAAGUGUACCGGAAGGUGCGCUUGGAUCAUACAAAAUAUAGCUUAACAAAAGCCCCUCGCUUACACCGAAGAGAUAUCUAUUAAUACCAGAUUAUUUUGAGCCUAAAAUCCAGCCUAAUUAAAACCACAUGAAAACCAUAAUAUACUACCCUUUAACAAAACAUUUUCUUAGUUCAGUAGAGGUGAUCAAAAAACUUAUUAGCGCUUUAUCGUUAGUACCGCAAGGGAAAGAUGAAAUAGCUUUGAAACAACCUUAAAGCUAGAAACAGCAAAGAUUACCCCUUGUACCUUUUGCAUCAUGGUUUAGCCAGUCUUAGUCAAGCAAAAAGAAAUAUCAGUUUGACCCCCCGAAACUAGACGAGCUACUUUAAAACAGCUUUAUGAGCUAACCCGUCUCUGUUGCAAAAGAGUGGGAUGAUUUUUAAGUAGAGGUGAAAAGCCUAUCGAGCCUAGAGAUAGCUGGUUACUUAAGAAAAGAAUUUUAGUUCAACCUCAACUCUUUUAAUUACUAUAAUAAACUACUUAGACUUGAGGUCUAAUCAAAUAAGGCACAGCUUAUUUGAUAACGGAGACAGCCUACAAAAAAGGGUAAAAAUUUACUUCACAGAUUAAGUGGGCCUGAAAGCAGCCACCUUCAAGAAAGCGUUAAAGCUCUAUCUUCUCUCUUAUACAAUACCCACACUUACUUUAAACCCUUUACUACUAUUAAGUAAUUUUAUAAGCCUAUAAAAGUCCUAAUGCUAAAACUAGUAACAAGAAAUUGAAUUUCUCCCAAAUACAAGCAUAAACCAAAAUGGACAAACCAUUGGUAAUUAACGUCAGUAAACUCACUAUAAUAACAAGUUCAAGAAAACAUUAUAGACUACACACGUUAACCUUACACAAGAAUAUUUCGGGAAAGAUUAAAAGAAAGGGAAGGAACUCGGCAAAUUUUAACCCCGCCUGUUUACCAAAAACAUCGCCUCUUGACUAACAUAAGAGGUCCAGCCUGCCCAGUGACACACUUAAACGGCCGCGGUACCCUGACCGUGCGAAGGUAGCAUAAUCAUUUGUUCUUUAAAUGAGGACCUGUAUCAACGGCAUCACGAGGGUUAUACUGUCUCCCCCCUCUAAUCAGUGAAACUGACUUCCCCGUGAAGAGGCGGGGAUAAAAAUACAAGACGAGAAGACCCCAUGGAGCUUUAAACCCAACAAUAACCUUUAUCUAAACCCCCUUCAAAGAUAUAAAGACAUUAUCUGUUGGUUUUAGGUUGGGGUGACCGCGGAGAAAAACUUAACCUCCUUGACGAAUAGAUUCAAUCCUAAUCUAAGAGCUACUACUCUAAGAAUCAAAAAUUUGACGUAACAUGAUCCGAUAAUCGAUCAACGAACCAAGUUACCCUGGGGAUAACAGCGCAAUCCAUUUCAAGAGUCCCUAUCGACAAAUGGGUUUACGACCUCGAUGUUGGAUCAGGGUGUCCCAGUGGUGCAGCCGCUACUAAAGGUUUGUUUGUUCAACAAUUAAUAC